rnacentral:rRNA from 1 species
UACGUAGGCAGCGAGCGUUGUUCGGAAUUACUGGGCGUAAAGAGUGUGUAGGCGGUGCUCUAAGUUCGGUGUGAAAUCUCUCGGCUUAACUGGGAGGGUGCGCCGGAAACUGGAGUGCUCGAACGUGGGAGAGGAAAGCGGAAUUCCUGGUGUAGCGGUGAAAUGCGUAGAUAUCAGGAGGAACACCUGCGGUGAAGACGGCUUUCUGGACCAUUGUUGACGCUGAGACACGAAAGCGUGGGUAGCAAACAGG